rnacentral:ncRNA from 13 species
CCAACGGCCCUCUUUAGGGCCACAAAUUUUCAAAUAAUCCUAAAAU